UUUGGUUAAGUUAGAAAGGGCGCACGGUGGAUGCCUUGACACUAGGAGUCGAUGAAGGACGGGACUAACGCCGAUAUGCUUCGGGGAGCUGUAAGUAAGCUUUGAUCCGAAGAUUUCCGAAUGGGGAAACCCACCAUACGUAAUGGUAUGGUAUCCUUAUCUGAAUACAUAGGGUAAGGAAGACAGACCCAGGGAACUGAAACAUCUAAGUACCUGGAGGAAGAGAAAGCAAAUGCGAUUUCCUGAGUAGCGGCGAGCGAAACGGAACAUAGCCCAAACCAAGAGGCUUGCCUCUUGGGGUUGUAGGACAUUCUAUACGGAGUUACAAAGGAACGAGGUAGACGAAGCGACCUGGAAAGGUCCGUCGUAGAGGGUAACAACCCCGUAGUCGAAACUUCGUUCUCUCUUGAAUGUAUCCUGAGUACGGCGGAACACGUGAAAUUCCGUCGGAAUCUGGGAGGACCAUCUCCCAAGGCUAAAUACUCCCUAGUGAUCGAUAGUGAACCAGUACCGUGAGGGAAAGGUGAAAAGCACCCCGGAAGGGGAGUGAAAGAGAUCCUGAAACCGUGUGCCUACAAAUAGUCAGAGCCCGUUAACGGGUGAUGGCGUGCCUUUUGUAGAAUGAACCGGCGAGUUACGAUCCCGUGCGAGGUUAAGCUGAAGAGGCGGAGCCGCAGCGAAAGCGAGUCUGAAUAGGGCGUUUAGUACGUGGUCGUAGACCCGAAACCAGGUGAUCUACCCAUGUCCAGGGUGAAGUUCAGGUAACACUGAAUGGAGGCCCGAACCCACGCACGUUGAAAAGUGCGGGGCUGAGGUGUGGGUAGCGGAGAAAUUCCAAUCGAACCUGGAGAUAGCUGGUUCUCCCCGAAAUAGCUUUAGGGCUAGCCUUAAGUGUAAGAGUCUUGGAGGUAGAGCACUGAUUGGACUAGGGGUCCUCAUCGGAUUACCGAAUUCAGUCAAACUCCGAAUGCCAAUGACUUAUCCUUAGGAGUCAGACUGCGAGUGAUAAGAUCCGUAGUCAAAAGGGAAACAGCCCAGACCGCCAGCUAAGGUCCCAAAGUGUGUAUUAAGUGGAAAAGGAUGUGGAGUUGCUUAGACAACUAGGAUGUUGGCUUAGAAGCAGCCACCAUUUAAAGAGUGCGUAAUAGCUCACUAGUCGAGUGACUCUGCGCCGAAAAUGUACCGGGGCUAAAUACACCACCGAAGCUGCGGAUUGAUACCAAUGGUAUCAGUGGUAGGGGAGCGUUCUAAGGACAGUGAAGUCAGACCGGAAGGACUGGUGGAGUGCUUAGAAGUGAGAAUGCCGGUAUGAGUAGCGAAAGACGGGUGAGAAUCCCGUCCACCGAAUGCCUAAGGUUUCCUGAGGAAGGCUCGUCCGCACAGGGUUAGUCAGGACCUAAGCCGAGGCCGACAGGCGUAGGCGAUGGACAACAGGUUGAUAUUCCUGUACCACCUCUUUAUCGUUUGAGCAAUGGAGGGACGCAGAAGGAUAGAAGAAGCGUGCGAUUGGUUGUGCACGUCCAAGCAGUUAGGCUGAUAAGUAGGCAAAUCCGCUUAUCGUGAAGGCUGAGCUGUGAUGGGGAAGCUCCUUAUGGAGCGAAGUCUUUGAUUCCCCGCUGCCAAGAAAAGCUUCUAGCGAGAUAAAAGGUGCCUGUACCGCAAACCGACACAGGUAGGCGAGGAGAGAAUCCUAAGGUGUGCGAGAGAACUCUGGUUAAGGAACUCGGCAAAAUGACCCCGUAACUUCGGGAGAAGGGGUGCUUUCUUAACGGAAAGCCGCAGUGAAUAGGCCCAAGCGACUGUUUAGCAAAAACACAGCUCUCUGCGAAGCCGUAAGGCGAAGUAUAGGGGGUGACACCUGCCCGGUGCUGGAAGGUUAAGGAGAGGGGUUAGCGUAAGCGAAGCUCUGAACUGAAGCCCCAGUAAACGGCGGCCGUAACUAUAACGGUCCUAAGGUAGCGAAAUUCCUUGUCGGGUAAGUUCCGACCCGCACGAAAGGUGUAACGAUUUGGGCACUGUCUCAACCAGAGACUCGGUGAAAUUAUAGUACCUGUGAAGAUGCAGGUUACCCGCGACAGGACGGAAAGACCCCGUGGAGCUUUACUGUAGCCUGAUAUUGAAUUUUGGUACAGUUUGUACAGGAUAGGCGGGAGCCUUUGAAACCGGAGCGCUAGCUUCGGUGGAGGCGCUGGUGGGAUACCGCCCUGACUGUAUUGAAAUUCUAACCUACGGGUCUUAUCGACCCGGGAGACAGUGUCAGGUGGGCAGUUUGACUGGGGCGGUCGCCUCCUAAAGUGUAACGGAGGCGCCCAAAGGUUCCCUCAGAAUGGUUGGAAAUCAUUCGUAGAGUGCAAAGGCAUAAGGGAGCUUGACUGCGAGACCUACAAGUCGAGCAGGGACGAAAGUCGGGCUUAGUGAUCCGGUGGUUCCGCAUGGAAGGGCCAUCGCUCAACGGAUAAAAGCUACCCCGGGGAUAACAGGCUUAUCUCCCCCAAGAGUCCACAUCGACGGGGAGGUUUGGCACCUCGAUGUCGGCUCAUCGCAUCCUGGGGCUGUAGUCGGUCCCAAGGGUUGGGCUGUUCGCCCAUUAAAGCGGUACGCGAGCUGGGUUCAGAACGUCGUGAGACAGUUCGGUCCCUAUCCGUCGUGGGCGUAGGAAAUUUGAGAGGAGCUGUCCUUAGUACGAGAGGACCGGGAUGGACGCACCGCUGGUGUACCAGUUGUUCUGCCAAGGGCAUAGCUGGGUAGCUAUGUGCGGAAGGGAUAAGUGCUGAAAGCAUCUAAGCAUGAAGCCCCCCUCAAGAUGAGAUUUCCCAUAGCGUAAGCUAGUAAGAUCCCUGAAAGAUGAUCAGGUUGAUAGGUUCGAGGUGGAAGCAUGGUGACAUGUGGAGCUGACGAAUACUAAUAGAUCGAGGACUUAACCAUAUAA
rnacentral:rRNA from 1 species